AUGCCCAAGCGGACCAUGGGAGGGAGGGCUGACGCCAGGGCCGAUGCCAUGGCGCACGAAGCUUCGGUGCAGGUGUCACCUACGCCGGAGCAGGUGGCUCCUUCGCUGGAGCAGGUGACUCCUCUGCCAUGCCAUCUGCCUCCUCUGCCGCAGCCCGUGGUCAACGUCGACGGCGACGACGACGAAGAAAAGGUAGCUGCUCUGGCUCCUCAGACGGAGCAGGUGUCUCCUCUGCCGCGGGUGACGCCUCCUGUGCCCGAACCUGUGGUCGUCGGCGAUGUCAACAAAGAAGACCCUCAGCCGGGUGUUCGUCUACCGCGGUUGUUGCCUCCCCUGCCGCCACCUGUGGUCGUCGCCGACGAGAACGAAGAAGAGGUUUUCCCUGGUCAGUACAAGGCGAAUAAGGUCCUAAGUGACGAUGUUGACAGCGACCCAGAAACCCAGAGGAUCUUUAGGAGACAGAAGGUGAGGCAGCUGGAGAGUGGUGAGCUCGAGAAAGCUGUGAGGCAUAGAUUCGGAAAUGGCUACGGAUGCCCUUUCUGCAACAAGGUGAUGAAGGGCGACCUGUCGAGUACCAUCAACCAUGCAGUCGGAACAUCCCAUGGCAAAAUCAAGAAUGUCUACGCUUUCAGGGUGAAGCAUGCCGCGUAUGCCGACUACUUGAUCAGGCUUCUUUGA
rnacentral:rRNA from 1 species